rnacentral:rRNA from 1 species
CCUACGGGAGGCAGCAGUGAGGAAUAUUGGUCAAUGGGCGCGAGCCUGAACCAGCCAAGUAGCGUGAAGGAUGACUGCCCUACGGGUUGUAAACUUCUAUCAGCAGGGAAGAAAAUGACGGUACCUGACUAAGAAGCCCCGGCUAACUACGUGCCAGCAGCCGCGGUAAUACGUAGGGGGCAAGCGUUAUCCGGAUUUAUUGGGUUUAAAGGGUGCGUAGGCGGGUUAUCAAGUCAGCGGUAAAAUCGUGGAGCUCAACUCCAUCCAGCCGUUGAAACUGAUGAUCUUGAGUGGGCGAGAAGUAUGCGGAAUGCGUGGUGUAGCGGUGAAAUGCAUAGAUAUCACGCAGAACUCCGAUUGCGAAGGCAGCAUACCGGCGCCCGACUGACGCUGAAGCACGAAAGCGUGGGUAUCGAACAGGAUUAGAUACCCUUGUAGUC